rnacentral:rRNA from 1 species
GUGCCAGCCGCCGCGGUAAUACCGGCAGCUCAAGUGAUGUCCCAUAUUAUUGGGCCUAAAGCGUCCGUAGCUGGCCGCACAAGUCCGUCGGGAAAUCCGCCCGCUCAACGGGCGGCCGUCCGGCGGAACCUGUGUGGCUUGGGACCGGGAGGCCUGAGGGGUACGUCCGGGGUAGGAGUGAAAUCCCGUAAUCCUGGACGGACCGCCGAUGGCGAAAGCACGUCGCGAGGACGGAUCCGACAGUGAGGGACGAAAGCCAGGGUCUCGAACCGGAUUAGAAACCCUGGUAGUCC